GGCGGCCAGCCUUAACACAUGCAAGUCGAGCGGUAACAGGGGGAGCUUGCUCCCUGCUGACGAGCGGCGGACGGGUGAGUAAUGCAUAGGAAUCUGCCCAGUAGUUGGGGAUAGCCCGGGGAAACCCGGAUUAAUACCGAAUACGCCCUACGGGGGAAAGCAGGGGAUCUUCGGACCUUGCGCUAUUGGAUGAGCCUAUGUCGGAUUAGCUAGUUGGUGGGGUAAAGGCCUACCAAGGCGACGAUCCGUAGCUGGUCUGAGAGGAUGAUCAGCCACAUCGGGACUGAGACACGGCCCGAACUCCUACGGGAGGCAGCAGUGGGGAAUAUUGGACAAUGGGGGCAACCCUGAUCCAGCCAUGCCGCGUGUGUGAAGAAGGCUUUCGGGUUGUAAAGCACUUUCAGUGAGGAGGAAAACCUUAUGGCUAAUACCCAUGAGGCUUGACGUUACUCACAGAAGAAGCACCGGCUAACUCCGUGCCAGCAGCCGCGGUAAUACGGAGGGUGCAAGCGUUAAUCGGAAUUACUGGGCGUAAAGCGCGCGUAGGUGGUUCGAUAAGCGAGAUGUGAAAGCCCCGGGCUUAACCUGGGAACGGCAUUUCGAACUG
rnacentral:rRNA from 1 species